CCCUUAGAUGUCCUGGGCCGCACGCGUGCUACACUGAUGCAUUCAACGAGUCUAAAACCUGGUCUGAUAGGGCUAGGUAAUCUUUUGAAUGUGCAUCGUGAUUGGGAUAGAUGAUUGCAAUUCUUCAUCUUCAACGAGGAAUGCCUAGUAAACGCAAGUCAUCAGCUUGCAUUGAUUACGUCCCUGCCCUUUGUACACACCGCCCGUCGCACCUACCGAUUGAAUGGUCCGGUGAAAUCUUCGGACCGUGACUUUGAUUUGUUUACUCAAAACGCUGUUACGGGAAGUUGAUUAAACCUUACCAUUUAGAGGAAGGUGAAGUCGUAACA
rnacentral:rRNA from 1 species